CAGUCGCCGCGGUAAUACAGAGGGUGCGAGCGUUAAUCGGAUUUACUGGGCGUAAAGCGUGCGUAGGCGGCUAAUUGAGUCGGAUGUGAAAUCCCCGAGCUUAACUUGGGAAUUGCAUUCGAUACUGGUUAGCUAGAGUGUGGGAGAGGAUGGUAGAAUUCCAGGUGUAGCGGUGAAAUGCGUAGAGAUCUGGAGGAAUACCGGUGGCGAAGGCGGCCCCCUGGACAAAGACUGACGCUCAGGUGCGAAAGCGUGGGGAGCAAACAGGAUUAGAUACCCCUGUAGUCCCUGUCUCUUAUAC
rnacentral:rRNA from 1 species